CUUUGGUGUUGCCGUGUGGCUGCUUUAAAAUCCCAUCCCACCCAUGAGACUGGGUGGGAUUUCCCAGAGUCUGGGAGCAAAAAUUGGAGAAAGCAGUGAGGUGAGGUAGUGAGAACUUUCGAGACCAUCUAGUUGCAUGGUGGAUGGUGGCCCGACCCCUCGGGGAAUCAACAGGCCUGAAUAGAAGAAGAAGGUGGAGGAAGGGCAAAUUCACUCUCUGCCUGAGCUGAGACAUCUGUCUUCUCCUGCCCUGGGACAUUGGCACUCUCGGUUCUUGGGCUUUCCGACAGACUAGAAGUUAUACCAUCAGCCCUGAUUCUCAGACCUUCAGAUUUUGACUGAAAUCACCAUGAGCUUUCCUGGUUCUAAAGCUUGCAGAUUUCAGAUCAUGGGACUUCGUGGCCUCCAUAACCACAUACAGCAAGAAGGCAGUCAUGUGAGAACCAGGAAGCAGAUCCUCACCAGACACCAAAUCUGCUGGCACCUUGAUCUUGAUCUUGAUCUUGAUCUACCCAGCCUCCAGAACUG
rnacentral:lncRNA from 1 species